GUUUUUUUGUUUUUUUUUGU
rnacentral:miRNA from 1 species